CCAGACUCCUACGGGAGGCAGCAGUGGGGAAUAUUGCACAAUGGGAGAAACCCUGAUGCAGCGACGCCGCGUGAAGGAAGAAGUAUUUCGGUAUGUAAACUUCUAUCAGCAGGGAAGAAAAUGACGGUACCUGACUAAGAAGCCCCGGCUAACUACGUGCCAGCAGCCGCGGUAAUACGUAGGGGGCAAGCGUUAUCCGGAUUUACUGGGUGUAAAGGGAGCGUAGGCGGUUUAGCAAGUCAGAAGUGAAAGCCCGGGGCCCAACCCCGGGACUGCUCUUGGAACUGCGUGGCUGGAGUGCAGGAGGGGCAGGCGGAAUUCCUGGUGUAGCGGUGAAAUGCGUAGAUAUCAGGAGGAACACCGGUGGCGAAGGCGGCCUGCUGGACUGCAACUGACGUUGAGGCCCGAAAGCGUGGGGAGCAAACAGGAUUAGAUACCCCAGUAC
rnacentral:rRNA from 1 species